AGAGUUUGAUCCUGGCUCAGAUUGAACGCUGGCGGCAUGCCUUACACAUGCAAGUCGAACGGCAGCACGAGAGCUUGCUCUUGGUGGCGAGUGGCGAACGGGUGAGUAAUAUAUCGGAACGUACCCUAGAGUGGGGGAUAACGUAGCGAAAGUUACGCUAAUACCGCAUACGAUCUACGGAUGAAAGUGGGGGAUCGCAAGACCUCAUGCUCAUGGAGCGGCCGAUAUCUGAUUAGCUAGUUGGUGGGGUAAAAGCUCACCAAGGCGACGAUCAGUAGCUGGUCUGAGAGGACGACCAGCCACACUGGAACUGAGACACGGUCCAGACUCCUACGGGAGGCAGCAGUGGGGAAUUUUGGACAAUGGGCGCAAGCCUGAUCCAGCAAUGCCGCGUGAGUGAAGAAGGCCUUCGGGUUGUAAAGCUCUUUUGUCAGGGAAGAAACGGUGGACUCUAAUACAGAUCACUAAUGACGGUACCUGAAGAAUAAGCACCGGCUAACUACGUGCCAGCAGCCGCGGUAAUACGUAGGGUGCAAGCGUUAAUCGGAAUUACUGGGCGUAAAGCGUGCGCAGGCGGUUGUGCAAGACAGAUGUGAAAUCCCCGGGCUCAACCUGGGAAUUGCAUUUGUGACUGCACGGCUAGAGUGUGUCAGAGGGGGGUAGAAUUCCACGUGUAGCAGUGAAAUGCGUAGAGAUGUGGAGGAAUACCGAUGGCGAAGGCAGCCCCCUGGGAUAACACUGACGCUCAUGCACGAAAGCGUGGGGAGCAAACAGGAUUAGAUACCCUGGUAGUCCACGCCCUAAACGAUGUCUACUAGUUGUCGGGUCUUAAUUGACUUGGUAACGCAGCUAACGCGUGAAGUAUACCGCCUGGGGAGUACGGUCGCAAGAUUAAAACUCAAAGGAAUUGACGGGGACCCGCACAAGCGGUGGAUGAUGUGGAUUAAUUCGAUGCAACGCGAAAAACCUUACCUACCCUUGACAUGUCUGGAAUCCUUGAGAGAUCAGGGAGUGCUCGAAAGAGAAUCAGAACACAGGUGCUGCAUGGCUGUCGUCAGCUCGUGUCGUGAGAUGUUGGGUUAAGUCCCGCAACGAGCGCAACCCUUGUCAUUAGUUGCUACGAAAGGGCACUCUAAUGAGACUGCCGGUGACAAACCGGAGGAAGGUGGGGAUGACGUCAAGUCCUCAUGGCCCUUAUGGGUAGGGCUUCACACGUCAUACAAUGGUACAUACAGAGGGCCGCCAACCCGCGAGGGGGAGCUAAUCCCAGAAAGUGUAUCGUAGUCCGGAUUGUAGUCUGCAACUCGACUACAUGAAGUUGGAAUCGCUAGUAAUCGCGGAUCAGCACGUCGCGGUGAAUACGUUCCCGGGUCUUGUACACACCGCCCGUCACACCAUGGGAGCGGGUUUCACCAGAAGUGGGUAGCCUAACCGCAAGGAGGGCGCUCACCACGGUGGGAUUCGUGACUGGGGUGAAGUCGUAACAAGGUA
rnacentral:rRNA from 1 species